GCUCAGAAACUUAAAUGAAUGACGGGGCCCGCACAAGCGGUGGAGUAUGUGGUUUAAUUCGAUGCAACGCGAAGAACCUUACCUGGUCUUGACAUCCCGGAGACCCUUAGGAAACUAGGGGUGCUUCCAUCUGGAAGAAUCUGGAGACAGGUGCUGCAUGGCUGUCGUCAGCUCGUGUCGUGAGAUGUUGGGUUAAGUCCCGCAACGAGCGCAACCCUUGCCUUUAGUUGCCAGCAGUUCGGCUGGGCACUCUAAAGGGACUGCCGGUGUUAAACCGGAGGAAGGUGGGGAUGACGUCAAGUCCUCAUGGCCUUUAUGACCAGGGCUACACACGUACUACAAUGGCCGAUACAAAGGGCAGCGACACUGCGAGGUGAAGCCAAUCCCGUAAAAUCGGUCUCAGUCCGGAUUGGAGUCUGCAACUCGACUCCAUGAAGUUGGAAUCGCUAGUAAUCGUGGAUCAGCAUGCCACGGUGAAUACGUUCCCGGGCCUU
rnacentral:rRNA from 1 species